GAAGUAGGAGAGACAGUCGCGCUUUAAACGUCGUGUCUUAAAGUGAGGAAAGUCCGAGCUCCGAAAAAUCAGGGCGCCCGGUAACACCGGGGCGGAGUGAUCCGACGGAAAGUGCCACAGAAACCAUACCGCCGACCGGCCGCGGGUCCGCCUGCGGCCCCCGGUAAGGGUGAAAUCGCGGUGUAAGAGACCACGGCCGCGUCCGGUAACGGACGCGGCGGGCAAACCCCGCCCGGAGCAAGGCCAAAUAGGGGAACAGGGUUGAUUUGCCCGCUUAUGUUCCCGGGUGGGCCGCGCGGAGCGGCCGGGUAACCGGACCGCCAAGAUAAAUGACUGUCCCGCCGCUGCGGCGGUCACGACAGAACUCGGCUUAUUUCCUGCUUCCCAA
rnacentral:RNase_P_RNA from 1 species